rnacentral:tRNA from 1 species
GUUCUCGUGGUUGAAUUGUACAACGAUAGUUUUUCAAGCUUUAGGUCCCGGGGAGGUGCCGGGCGAGAAUA